AGAAUCAACGCUGGCGGCGUGCCUAACACAUGCAAGUCGCACGAGAAAGGGGCUUCGGCCCUGAGUAAAGUGGCGCACGGGUGAGUAACACGUGAAUUAUCUACCUCCGAGUGGGGAAUAACUGAGAGAAAUCUUAGCUAAUACCGCAUAACACUUACGAGUCAAAGCAGCAAUGCGCUUGGAGAGGAGUUCGCGGCCGAUUAGUUAGUUGGCGGGGUAAUGGCCCACCAAGACGAUGAUCGGUAUCCGGCCUGAGAGGGCGCACGGACACACUGGAACUGAAACACGGUCCAGACUCCUACGGGAGGCAGCAGUGGGGAAUUUUGCGCAAUGGGGGAAACCCUGACGCAGCAACGCCGCGUGGAGGAUGAAGUAUCUCGGUACGUAAACUCCUUUCGAUAGGGAAGAUAAUGACGGUACCUAUAGAAGAAGCCCCGGCUAACUUCGCGCCAGCAGCCGC
rnacentral:rRNA from 1 species